CCGCGCUAGAUGGGGAGGUAGCGGUGCCCUGAACCCGCAACCCGCUAGAGCGGGGUCGAACUCCCACCCCCGGUCCAGCUCCGGUCGGGCCGCCCGGCGACGGCGGCGUAGACGACCUGGCCCUGCGCAACGGAACCCCGUGAACCCCGCCAGGCCCGGAAGGGAGCAGCGGUAAGCGGGCCAGUCCGUGUGCCGCAGGUCCCCCUGGUCCGAGCUUGCCCCGCCGGUAACGCCGGCUGGCGCGGAUCAAAGGUGGGUGCGCGG
rnacentral:SRP_RNA from 1 species